GUGGAUUAGAUACCCUGGUAGUCCACGCCCUAAACGAUGUCAAUUAGCUGUUGGGGGUUAGAAUCCCUGGUAGCGUAGCUAACGCGUGAAAUUGACCGCCUGGGGAGUACGGCCGCAAGGUUAAAACUCAAAGGAAUUGACGGGGGCCCGCACAAGCGGUGGAUGAUGUGGAUUAAUUCGAUGCAACGCGAAGAACCUUACCUGCUCUUGACAUGUACGGAACUUGCCAGAGAUGGCUUGGUGCCCGAAAGGGAGCCGUAACACAGGUGCUGCACGGUUGUCGACAACU
rnacentral:rRNA from 1 species